rfam:Salmo salar isolate Sally breed double haploid chromosome ssa09, whole genome shotgun sequence.
UGCAUUCACUACUGUAAGUCGCUCUGGGUAAGCGUGUCUGCUAAAUGACUAAAA